AUGGUUGAUGCCAUGAUAAGUAUAAGUGUUCUUGGAUUUCUAGUUUGGGCUCAUCAUAUGUUUACUGUGGGCUUAGACGUUGAUACGCGUGCCUACUUCACCGCAGCUACCAUGAUCAUAGCUGUGCCCACAGGAAUCAAAAUCUUUAGUUGGAUCGCUACCAUGUGGGGAGGUUCAAUACAAUACAAAACACCCAUGUUAUUUGAUGUAGGGUUCAUCUUUUUGUUCACCAUAGGAGGGCUCACUGGAAUAGUUCUAGCAAACUCUGGGCUAGACACUGCUCUACAUGAUACUUAUUAUGUGGUUGCACAUUUCCAUUAUGUACUUUCUAUGGGAGCCGUUUUUGCUUUAUUUGCUGGAUUUUACUAUUGGGUGGGUAAAAUCUUUGGUCGGACAUAUCCUGAAACUUUAGGCCAAAUCCAUUUUUGGAUCACUUUUUCGGGGUUAAUCUAA
rnacentral:rRNA from 1 species